rnacentral:rRNA from 1 species
CAGUAGCCGCGGGAACACGUAGGGUGCAAGCGUUAAUCGGAAUUACUGGGCGUAAAGCGUGCGCAGGCGGUUUUGUAAGACAGAGGUGAAAUCCCCGGGCUCAACCUGGGAACUGCCUUUGUGACUGCAAGGCUAGAGUACGGCAGAGGGGGAUGGAAUUCCGCGUGUAGCAGUGAAAUGCGUAGAUAUGCGGAGGAACACCGAUGGCGAAGGCAAUCCCCUGGGCCUGUACUGACGCUAAUGCACGAAAGCGUGGGGAGCAAACAGGAUUAGAUACCCCCGUAGUCCCUGUCUCUUAUAA